GGUGAUAUAACUCAGCGAUAAAGUGCAUACUUAUCAUGCAUGAGGUCCUGAGUUUAAUCCCCAGUACCUCCG
rnacentral:tRNA from 1 species